ACGGAAAGGACUAACCAACCACCGUUAGCGAGUCUUGUGCUGUAUGCAGUAAUGGAUAUAGUAAAGCGUAGACAGCGAGGAAGUGGGGUUACAAGGUGAUAGAGCCUCGAAAUUUUGCUAUUCGGAGGGCUGACGCUUUAAUUUCGGCGGAAAGCAAUAUGUACAAAUCGUUAUGGUGAGAUUAUGUACACCUCUGCGGGGUCAAAGAGC
rnacentral:ncRNA from 1 species